rnacentral:piRNA from 2 species
UACAAAACCGAACUGCCUUAAAGACC